UGGGGGAUUUUGCGCAAUGGGCGAAAGCCUGAUGCAGCGACGCCGCGUGGGGGAUGAAGGCUUUCGGGUUGUAAACCUCUUUCGCUAUCGAACAAGGCCCGCUUAGGGUGGGUUGAGGGUAGGUGGAGAAGAAGCGCCGGCUAACUACGUGCCAGCAGCCGCGGUAAUACGUAGGGCGCGAGCGUUGUCCGGAAUUAUUGGGCGUAAAGGGCUUGUAGGCGGCUUGUUGCGCCUGCUGUGAAAACGCGGGGCUUAACUUCGCGCGUGCAGUGGGUACGGGCAGGCUUGAGUGUGGUAGGGGUGACUGGAAUUCCAGGUGUAGCGGUGGAAUGCGCAGAUAUCUGGAGGAACACCGAUGGCGAAGGCAGGUCACUGGGCCAUUACUGACGCUGAGGAGCGAAAGCAUGGGUAGCGAACAGG
rnacentral:rRNA from 1 species